rnacentral:rRNA from 1 species
UACGUAGGGUGCGAGCGUUAAUCGGAAUACUGGGCGUAAAGCGUGCGCAGGCGGUCUGUUAAGACCGAUGUGAAAUCCCCCGGGCUUAACCUGGGAACUGCAUUGGUGACUGGCAGGCUUUGAGUGUGGCAGAGGGAGGUAGAAUUCCACGUGUAGCAGUGAAAAUGCGUAGAGAUGUGGAGGAAUACCGAUGGCGAAGGCACCU